rnacentral:sRNA from 1 species
CCAACGCCCGCGAUGAUUGAUGAACUUUAGACUUCGCUAAUGCUUCCCUUCCCCGGGUGUAAAUAGCCGGGGGGAAUUAGUACCCUUGCACGGCGCUUCGCGCCGUCGGCUCGGGGAUUAUAUAUAUAUAUAUAUAUAUAUAUAUAUAUAUAUAUAUAUAUAUAUAUAUAUAUAUAUAUAUAUAUAUAU